UCCGGUUUGUCACCGGCAGUCUCAUUAGAGUGCCCUUUCGUAGCAACUAAUGACAAGGGUUGCGCUCGUUGCGGGACUUAACCCAACAUCUCACGACACGAGCUGACGACGGCCAUGCAGCACCUGUGUCCUGGCUCCCUUUCGGGCACCCCCACAUCUCUGCAGGAUUCCAGGCAUGUCAAGGGUAGGCAAGGUUUUUCGCGUUGCAUCGAAUUAAACCACAUCAUCCACCGCUUGUGCGGGUCCCCGUCAAUUCCUUUGAGUUUCAACCUUGCGACCGUACUCCCCAGGCGGCGCAUUUAUCGCGUUAGCUUCGCCACAGAAGGGGUCGAUACCCAAGACACCUAGUGACCAUCGUUUACGGCGUGGACUAC
rnacentral:misc_RNA from 1 species